rnacentral:ncRNA from 1 species
UGACACGCCAUUCAUUGUUCUUCGUAUUCUUCUUUUUCUUCCCCCACAGGGGGGGCGAUUGGUCGUGUGAGUAAGAAUACGAAGACGAACAAAAAGCCUCCUGAAAUCAGGGGGCUUUUUUUG